UACGAAGGGGGCUAGCGUUGCUCGGAAUCACUGGGCGUAAAGGGUGCGUAGGCGGGUCUUUAAGUCAGGGGUGAAAUCCUGGAGCUCAACUCCAGAACUGCCUUUGAUACUGAGGAUCUUGAGUUCGGGAGAGGUGAGUGGAGCUGCGAGUGUAGAGGUGAAAUUCGUAGAUAUUCGGAAGAACACCAGUGGCGAAGGCGACACACUGGCUCACUACUGACGCUGAGGCGCGAAAGCGUGGGGAGCAAACAGG
rnacentral:rRNA from 1 species